AUUUGAAAGAAGAUAAACCUAGGAAAAGUUUGUUUAAUGAUGCAGGAAACAAGAAGAAUUCAAUUAAAAUGUGGUUUAGCCCUCGAAGUAAGAAAGUCAGAUAUGUUGUGAGUAAAGCUUCAGUGCAAACCCAGCCUGCAAUAAAAAAAGAUGCAAGUGCUCAGCAAGACUCAUAUGAAUUUGUUUCCCCAAGUCCUCCUGCAGAUGUUUCUGAGAGGGCUAAAAAGGCUUCUGCAAGAUCUGGAAAAAAGCAAAAAAAGAAAACUUUAGCUGAAAUCAACCAAAAAUGGAAUUUAGAGGCAGAAAAAGAAGAUGGUGAAUUUGACUCCAAAGAGGAAUCUAAGCAAAAGCUGGUAUCCUUCUGUAGCCAACCAUCUGUUAUCUCCAGUCCUCAGAUAAAUGGUGAAAUAGACUUACUAGCAAGUGGCUCCUUGACAGAAUCUGAAUGUUUUGGAAGUUUAACUGAAGUCUCUUUACCAUUGGCUGAGCAAAUAGAGUCUCCAGACACUAAGAGCAGGAAUGAAGUAGUGACUCCUGAGAAGGUCUGCAAAAAUUAUCUUACAUCUAAGAAAUCUUUGCCAUUAGAAAAUAAUGGAAAACGUGGCCAUCACAAUAGACUUUCCAGUCCCAUUUCUAAGAGAUGUAGAACCAGCAUUCUGAGCACCAGUGGAGAUUUUGUUAAGCAAACGGUGCCCUCAGAAAAUAUACCAUUGCCUGAAUGUUCUUCACCACCUUCAUGCAAACGUAAAGUUGGUGGUACAUCAGGGAGGAAAAACAGUAACAUGUCCGAUGAAUUCAUUAGUCUUUCACCAGGUACACCACCUUCUACAUUAAGUAGUUCAAGUUACAGGCGAGUGAUGUCUAGUCCCUCAGCAAUGAAGCUGUUGCCCAAUAUGGCUGUGAAAAGAAAUCAUAGAGGAGAGACUUUGCUCCAUAUUGCUUCUAUUAAGGGCGACAUACCUUCUGUUGAAUACCUUUUACAAAAUGGAAGUGAUCCAAAUGUUAAAGACCAUGCUGGAUGGACACCAUUGCAUGAAGCUUGCAAUCAUGGGCACCUGAAGGUAGUGGAAUUAUUGCUCCAGCAUAAGGCAUUGGUGAACACCACCGGGUAUCAAAAUGACUCACCACUUCACGAUGCAGCCAAGAAUGGGCAUGUGGAUAUAGUCAAGCUGUUACUUUCCUAUGGAGCCUCCAGAAAUGCUGU
rnacentral:circRNA from 1 species